UACGUAGGGUGCAAGCGUUGUCCGGAAUUAUUGGGCGUAAAGAGCUCAUAGGCGGUUUGUCGCGUCUGCUGUGAAAACCCGAGGCUCAACCUCGGGCCUGCAGUGGGUACGGGCAGACUAGAGUGGCGGUAGGGGAGGAUUGGAAUUCCUGGUGUAGCGGUGGAAUGCGCAGAUAUCGUGAAGGAAGACCAGUGGCGAAGGCGAAUCUCUGGACAGUUACUGACACUGAGGCAGCGAAGGCCAAGGGGAGCAAACGGG
rnacentral:rRNA from 1 species